rnacentral:rRNA from 1 species
AGCGAACGCUGGCGGCAGGCCUAACACAUGCAAGUCGAACGAACUCUUCGGAGUUAGUGGCGGACGGGUGAGUAACACGUGGGAACGUGCCUUUAGGUUCGGAAUAACUCAGGGAAACUUGUGCUAAUACCGAAUGUGCCCUUCGGGGGAAAGAUUUAUCGCCUUUAGAGCGGCCCGCGUCUGAUUAGCUAGUUGGUUGGGGUAAUGGCCCACCAAGGCGACGAUCAGUAGCUGGUCUGAGAGGAUGACCAGCCACAUUGGGACUGAGACACGGCCCAAACUCCUACGGGAGGCAGCAGUGGGGAAUCUUGCGCAAUGGGCGAAAGCCUGACGCAGCCAUGCCGCGUGUAUGAUGAAGGUCUUAGAAUUGUAAAAUACUUUCACCGGUGAAGAUAAUGACUGUAGCCGGAGAAGAAGCCCCGGCUAACUUCGUGCCAGCAGCCGCCGUAAAAC